UACGUAGGGGGCUAGCGUUGUCCGGAAUCAUUGGGCGUAAAGCGCGUGUAGGCGGUCCGGUAAGUCCGCUGUGAAAGUCGGGGGCUCAACCCUCGAAUGCCGGUGGAUACUGUCGGGCUAGAGUGCGGAAGAGGCGAGUGGAAUUCCUGGUGUAGCGGUGAAAUGCGCAGAUAUCAGGAGGAACACCUAUUGCGAAGGCAGCUCGCUGGGACGUAACUGACGCUGAGACGCGAAGGCGUGGGGAGCAAACAGG
rnacentral:rRNA from 1 species